rnacentral:rRNA from 1 species
CGCGCGCGCGACGGGUGCGUAACGCGUAUGUAACCUACCUUUGACAGGGGGAUAACAUCGAGAAAUUGGUACUAAUACCCCAUAACAUCACCGGAGGCAUCUUCGGUGGUUGAAAACUCAGGUGGUCAGAGAUGGACAUGCGUUGUAUUAGCUAGUUGGUGAGGUAACGGCUCACCAAGGCGACGAUACAUAGGGGGACUGAGAGGUCAACCCCCCACAUUGGUACUGAGACACGGACCAAACUCCUACGGAAGGCAGCAG